UAAGCAGUCCUUGACGUGGCCUGCUUUCUCCAUUCCCCAUCUGAUGUUUCUGCCCAGACCCCCGGGAGCCCGGGCCUGGCCUCUAGCUGGCUCACAAGACGUUCUGGACUGAAGGGAAAGGCACUUAGGGAAAAGUCUCGGUUGAAGCAACUGGGGCCAAUAAGGACCAGAAACGGAUGAGAUGCUCCAGCAAGAAGCAGAGGGCCUGAAAGAGAAAUCUGGACCCCAGACACAGGAAGAAAGGCAGAAGACAGCCAGCGUCCAGGCACUUCAAAGAAACCCACUUGGAAGCCAGGACUUGGGGAGCUAGGCAAGGAUGUCUCACAAAUGCAGUUCCCCAAGUGUGUUUCUGCAAAACUCCUUGAAGGUUCUGAGGGGGCGAACAGGAGAGAACUUCCAGACAAGGAGAGCAAGAGGGACUUUGCAGAUGUGAUUACGUUAAGGAUCUUGGGAUGGGGAGACCCUGGAAUAUCUGGGUGAGCCCAAUGUAAUCACAAGGGUCCUUCUAAGAGGAAACCGGAAGAGACAGAGGAGAAAAAGGCAAUGUGGCAACAGAAACAGAGAUCGGAGCGAUAUGGCUGGAAGCCAAGGAAUGCCAGCAAACUCUAGAAGCUGCAAGAGACAAGAAACGGAUUCUCCCCUGGAGCCUCCCCAAGGAAGGAGCCCUGUCGACACCUUGACUUUAGCACAGUCAGCCUGCUUUUGGACUUUGACCUCCGGAAAUGAGCCAGGCACCUGGUCUGAGUUUUCUUAUCACCCUGAUCACAAAAGCACACGUCUUCUUAAACUACAGACAUCUCGGAUCGGGUACCUGUUGCACACCUCCUCGGAUCCUUGUGGCCACACUUGUCUUCUACUCUGGUCACCGCGGUGGUUUGGGACACGGCAGAUGACCGUCGGCAUCCUCGCCAACGCUACCUGGAAGUGCUGGGGAGUUAACGCCUCAUGGAAUAUUCUCUGACCAACGGAGGAUACAAACAGAUGGAUACACGCUACCUGCUUUCUCGCACCACGUUGGCAGUCCUGAGGUGCGUGUCACAUGGGCCUCUCACGUGCUUUGUGGGGUCAACCAACUCAGUAAGAGAACCUCUCAUUGCUUCACUCUCCUUCACUGCUGCUUCUGGGGAUCACAAUCCCCAGCAAAGUAUUUGCAAGGUAGGUAUCUUUCUCUGGUCGUCCUCUCUGGGGAAACCAGACUAAGACACAUUCUUUGUUCUUUCCCGAUUCCAAAAUAUUCUUCCUCGUCUGAGCUAAAAACUAACCCUUCCCAUUUCCUGAGAGAGUUUUCUUCUAUAAUGAUAUCCUCCCCUCCUCCAGUAAGUAAAAUCUUGACAGUUUUAAGGGAUGUAUCCUGAGAGUUUCAAAAAAGCCUACUUUUUGAGUACCUCUCUUAGAUAUAAUUACCUCCAUAAAAUAGAGUACCUGAAACAUCAAAGUGAUGUCUUGAGACUCUUAAAUGGUUUUAUGAAGUGCUAAAGCAAUUUUUCAUAGUACAUCACCUGCAUAGCAACAUUAUCCAUGAGCUUGCCUGGAUCUACAAAGAAGUAGAGUUCCUACCAUUUCAUGAGAGUUCAAGCAUAUACAGAGAUUGGUAGAGAAUCACAAUGGUGUGGUAUGAUACCAACGUUGGGCAGCCGGCCGGUGUGGCUCUCCAAAUAACUGAUCAUUCACGUACAGCAGUUUCAUGACAGACAUGAGUACAACGUGUGCCUUGGCAGAAUUGAAAAAUGACUACCUACCUUGGACUGUGGGGGUCAAUGGCAAAUGGUAAGGAUCGUGAACAUGGAGGCCACAAAUGCCAGAGAUCUACUUUCUAACUCUAAAUCUCUACUAUCUGGACUUUGAACUUCAGAGGUGCACAACCUCCUCCCCCUGAAAAGGCAGACCUUCACCCGACUUUAUAGUGCCCCUAAGCUACUAUUGUAUUGUCAACUAGAUCCAUGGAAACUUCACUCUCCAGGAACUCCCUUGACUUUCUUUUCAAAUCUAGUGACUCUUUGUAAGCCUUCAUAUACUUAACCCUCUGUGUGGUUCUUGACUAUUAGCCGACGCUUCCUUGGUCCUCUAUUGUCCUCCAUGAUUCUGUGAUUUUUCUCUGGUGUUCACUUAUUGAUGACAUCACCUCUUUCUGUCAUCUCUUAUGGAAAUUCUUUCUCUUUCCUUCGAGCACUACCUGAAGCUCAUUCCUUGUUUCUUAUCUUCCUUCACAUUUCUUCUUUAUGAAUCCCCAUCCUUAUCCUAAGGUUACCUCCACUUGGAGAACAAAUUCAAUGCAGUGUAACUUAACUCAACAUAGGAGGGCUAUCUUCUUGAUACUUGGUAAUCCAUCCUCGGCAAGAAUGCCUCCAGGAAAGAAGGUUUUACCUUUUCACAUGGCAGCUUUUUCAUUUCUGGAGCCCUCUGAUGUGUAAAGUGGUUCAUUACAUAUGGCUGAAUCGGUCUCCUGGUAAUUUUGAGACAUUGAUUGUUAUUCUGUCCCCCAAAGUCACAUUGAAAAAAAAUCUUCCCUCUUCUUGACAGCCCUUAACAAUACCCUGUUGUCUUCUACUAAGCUUUUCUUAAUCCCUCAGACUCCAAAUCCCAGAAAGACUUUUGAUUCUUCCUUC